AACGAACGUUAGCGGCGCGCUUAACACAUGCAAGUCGCACGAGAAAGGGCUUCGGCCCCGGUACAGUGGCGCACGGGUGAGUAACACGUGGGUAAUCUUCCCUCGGGCGGGGGAUAACAUUCCGAAAGGAGUGCUAAUACCGCAUAAGACCACGGCUUCGAAAGGAGCUGAGGUCAAAGCCGGCAUCUAUUCAUAAGCUGGCACCUGAGGAUGAGCCCGCGGCCCAUCAGGUAGUUGGUAGGGUAAUGGCCUACCAACGCAAAGACGGGUAGCUGGUCUGAGAGGAUGGUCAGCCACACGGGAACUGAGACACGGUCCAGACUCCUACGGGAGGCAGCAGUGGGGAAUCUUGCGCAAUGGGCGAAAGCCUGACGCAGCGAAGCCGCGUGAGUGAUGAAGGCCUUCGGGUUGUAAAGCUCUGUGGGGAGAGACGAAUAAGUCGGAGCUAAUACCUCCGGCGAUGACGGUAUCUCCUUAGCAAGCACCGGCUAACUCUGUGCCAGCCGCCGCAGUAAGAC
rnacentral:rRNA from 1 species